AGUCGUAUCCAACGUUAAACCCCCCGUGCAAUUUCACAUCAUACCAUCGACUCUUCAACGAGCGAGUGCGGGCUCGAGAAUUGUGACAGGAAGACGUCAGGGGACAACUUCGGUUGCCCCUGCCGCUGACUCACCCAAGAGGUAGAACCGGCCGUUCGGAGGGGAACUCGGUGCUGUCUGGUUUGAUUGGUUUCAGCGAGAGUUUUUUGCACAGCGGAUGUCUCAGGUGUUUGCCUGUCCGAGAUGAGUCGAAAACUGCAACCAACCAAACGCCAGACUAGAAGGGUACACUGCCGAGAUCGGGAAACCGGUUUUUCAAGGGAGGAAACUCUCUGAGAAGCCGGCCAAAUCGAACCUGGUAGUUUAAACCAGCAUAUCUUGGUUCUC
rnacentral:misc_RNA from 1 species